AUGCUGUCAUCAAAGAACAGGAAGCUGGUGACAAGCUGGAUAAUGGAUAAUGAGGAAAUUGGAUCUACAUCAGUCAACGGAGAGGAGGGGAAAGGAGAUGAGAAGGAGAUUCCAGAAAAAGUGGCUGGAGAUAACCAUGAUGAGGAACCAUCUCAGUCAGUUAGCAUUGGCACAAAACUUGGGAUAGAGGUUCCAGAAGAUACGGUGAUUGAAAAUGCAAAUGGUGCUAAACAAACUCAAGGGUUUCCGAGAUACAGUGGGAGGAUUGCUUCGAAGAACAGAGAUGAUAUUCCUAUACUAGCUAGAGCUAUGACUUUGGCCAGGGCCAAAAAUUUAGCACUAUCUGAAGGUAUGUCUGAAAAAACUAAUGUUUCUUUUCUUGAGAAUGUUGAGUUAAUUGAUGUGGCUAACCUAAUUAAAAUAGAUUUGGGGGUUACUAUAGACAUGGUGGACCAUCACCUGAAACUUAUUCAUUCAUUAGAGCAAGCUAGAAGAGGGAUUUAUAUAGCAAGUUCCAAAGAAAAAAUAGAUAUACCAGAAAAAGAACUUGUACUGGAACCUGAUGAUGUUAACAGCAUACUUCAGGAUUUGUUGUCACUUAGUAAAGAUGAUGAUGAUGAACAGAUAGACAUGUUAAUGGGAGAAGUACCUGGGGGGAUUAGAGGGGGUCUGAGAACAAACAAUGCUUCUUUUGAGGUUGUUGCAGUCAAGACCCCUGUUAAAACUGUGUUGAGGAGGAAAAAAAGGAAAAAUCAGUGA
rnacentral:rRNA from 1 species